GGACUACUGGGGUAUCUAAUCCUGUUUGCUCCCCACGCUUUCGCGCCUCAGCGUCAGUUGCGGGCCAGUGAGCCGCCUUCGCCACUGGUGUUCUUCCCAAUAUCUACGAAUUUCACCUCUACACUGGGAAUUCCACUCACCUCUCCCGCACUCCAGCCCCGCAGUCUCAAGCGCAAUUCCUGGGUUAAGCCCAGGGCUUUCACGCCCAACUUGCAAGGCAGCCUACGCGCCCUUUACGCCCAGUAAUUCCGAACAACGCUUGCCCCCUCCGUAUUACCGCGGCUGCUGGCAC
rnacentral:rRNA from 2 species